UACGAAGGGGGCUAGCGUUGCUCGGAAUUACUGGGCGUAAAGGGCGCGUAGGCGGCUUAGUUAGUCAGGCGUGAAAAUUCCUGGGCUCAACCUGGGGACUGCGCUUGAUACGGCUAGGCUAGAGGAUGGAAGAGGGUCGCGGAAUUCCCAGUGUAGAGGUGAAAAUUCGUAGAUAUUUGGGGGAAAGAAACACCCGGGUGGG
rnacentral:rRNA from 1 species